ACAAAACAUGUUUUCAUGUUCAACAAAAUACACAACCAAGUUCAAAUAUAAUACAACCAAGUUCAAACACAAUACAGCCAACACAUGUUUUCACGUUCUUUCAAGUUCUAGUAGGAGGGAAAGUAAGAGAGCCUAUUCAUUUGCAGAGGCAUCAUUGGACUUAGAGUUGAGGAAAGCAAUGAAAUUCGGGUCAGUUGCGCUCAAGUACUCCUUAACCAGCUUCAAGUGCUUGAUCUCUGCUUAUUGCUCAGCUACAACCUGUGAAGCCUCUACUGCAACCCGUGAAGCCUCUGCUUCACGCUCUUCUUGAAUAGCUGCUUGUUCCUCUAUCUUCGAGUAGCUUCCUCAAGAUGUUACUGCAGGCUACUACAAGAAAACAUGUGAUUAACGAGUGCAAAAACAGUCACUAUUCCGUCAUUAAGUACCUUGGAACGACUGUUUAGCGACUAAAUAAAGUAGUCGCCAAACCAAGCGUCGCUAAAUUAUUUGGUCACAAUACAGUCAUUAUGUAGCAACUGUAUUGCGACAUAUUUUAUUGGUCACUGUGACGUCGCAACUCAGGGAUUAGCGACUACAAAAACAGUCACUAGUUAGUCGCUAAGUAACAUAGUAUGACUGUUUAGCGACUAAAAAACGUAGUCGCCAAACUAUGCGUCCCUAAUAACUGGGUCGCACAACAGUCGCUAAAUAGCGACUGUCGUGCGACAUAUUUUAUUGGUCACUAAUAGGUAGCAUAUCAAUCGCUACAUUUGCCACUGACGUGCGACUAUUAUGCGUCUGUUUUGCUACUGUAAAAUUGAACUGUUUUUACGACAGAAUUGGUUUGAAAUCUCGAUUUAGGAUGCUUUUAAAUUUGAUUUUGUAAUUACGAAUUGUUUGUAAAACACAAAAAAAACAUGUAUUUAGAAUAUUCUUGUUCAACACAAAAACAAAACAUGUUUUCAUGUUCAACGAAAUACACAACUAAAUUCAAACAUAAUACAACCAAGUUCAAACACAAUACAGCCAAUACUUGUUUUCACGUUCUUUCAAGUUCUAGUAGGAGGGAAAGUAAGAGAACCUAUUCAUUUGCAUAGGCAUCAUUCGACUUAGAGUUGAGGAAAGCAAUGAAAUUGGGGUCAGUUGCGCUCAACUACUUCUUGACCAUCUUCAAGUGCUUGAUCUCAGCUUGUUGCUCAGCUUUAACCUAUGAAGCCUCUACUGCAACCCGUGAAGCCUCUGCUUUACGCUCUCUGCUUGAAUAGCUGCUUGUUCCUCUAUCUUCCGAGUAGCUUCCUCAAGCUGUUGAUGCAGGCUACUACAAGAAAACAUGUGAUUAACGACUGCAAAAACAGUCACUAUUCCAUUAUUAAGUACUUUGGAACGACUGUUUAGCGACUAAAUAACGUAGUCGUCAAACCCUGCGUUGCUAAAUAUUAUGGUCGCAAUACAGUAACUAUGUAGCGACUGUAUUGCGACAUAUUUUAUUGGUCACUAUGACGGCGCAACUCAAGGAUUAACGACUACAAAAACAGUCACUAG
rnacentral:lncRNA from 1 species